rnacentral:lncRNA from 1 species
AUGUGUUGUAACUACUACGGCAACUCCUGUGGCUAUGGCUGUGGCUAUGGCUCUGGCUAUGGCUGUGGCUCUGGCUCUGGCUAUGGCUGUGGCUAUGGCUCUGGCUAUGGCUGUGGCUAUGGUUCUGGCUAUGGCUGUGGCUCUGGCUCUGGCUAUGGCUGUGGAUAUGGCUCUGGCUAUGGCUGUGGAUACGGCUCUGGCUAUGGCUGUGGAUAUGGCUCUGGCUAUGGCUGUGGAUAUGGCUCUGGCUAUGGCUGUGGAUAUGGCUCUGGCUAUGGCUGUGGAUAUGGCUCUGGCUAUGGCUGUGGAUAUGGCUCUGGCUAUGGCUGUGGAUAUGGAUCUGGCUGCUGUGGCUACGGACCAUCUUGCUACAGAAGAUGUUAUUCUUGCUGUUAG